UCCAUUUUUAAUGAGAGAAAAUACUAAUAUAAUCUGUAGAAAAAACUUGCUUUUGAGUAUAAAUUGACCAUACCCAUUCGACUAACAAAGAAAAUAAUAUGAAAAACAAUUAAUAAGGUUUAUAUUUUUGAAUAGGUUUUGGGAUUUGUAAUGGAAGGACAAUUAUAUAGAAGUGGGUGAAUGAUGGGAGGGAAGAUAAA
rnacentral:lncRNA from 1 species